GGUCAGCGACUUAUAUUCUGUAGCAAGGUUAACCGAAUAGGGGAGCCGGAGGGAAACCGAGUCUUAACCGGGCGUUAAGUUGCAGGGUAUAGACCCGAAACCCGGUGAUCUAGCCAUGGGCAGGUUGAAGGUUGGGUAACACUAACUGGAGGACCGAACCGACUAAUGUUGAAAAAUUAGCGGAUGACCUGUGGCUGGGGGUGAAAGGCCAAUCAAACCGGGAGAUAGCUGGUUCUCCCCGAAAGCUAUUUAGGUAGCGCCUCGUGAAUUCAUCUCCGGGGGUAGAGCACUGUUUCGGCUAGGGGGCCAUCCCGGCUUACCAACCCGAUGCAAACUGCGAAUACCGGAGAAUGUUAUCACGGGAGACACACGGCGGGUGCUAACGUCCGUCGUGAAGAGGGAAACAACCCAGACCGCCAGCUAAGGUCCCAAAGUCAUGGUUAAGUGGGAAACGAUGUGGGAAGGCCCAGACAGCCAGGAUGUUGGCUUAGAAGCAGCCAUCAUUUAAAGAAAGCGUAAUAGCUCACUGGUCGAGUCGGCCUGCGCGGAAGAUGUAACGGGGCUAAACCAUGCACCGAAGCUGCGGCAGCGACGCUGAUGCGUUGUUGGGUAGGGGAGCGUUCUGUAAGCCUGCGAAGGUGGCCUGUGAGGGUUGCUGGAGGUAUCAGAAGUGCGAAUGCUGACAUAAGUAACGAUAAAGCGGGUGAAAAGCCCGCUCGCCGGAAGACCAAGGGUUCCUGUCCAACGUUAAUCGGGGCAGGGUGAGUCGACCCCUAAGGCGAGGCCGAAAGGCGUAGUCGAUGGGAAACGGGUUAAUAUUCCCGUACUUGGUGUUACUGCGAAGGGGGGACGGAGAAGGCUAUGUUGGCCGGGCGACGGUU
rnacentral:rRNA from 1 species